CAAGUCGAACGGUAAGGCACCUUCGGGUGUACACGAGUGGCGCACGGGUGAGUAACGCGUGGGUAAUCUGCCUUCGGGUUUGGGACAACUUCGGGAAACUGGAGCUAAUGCCAAAUAAGACCACGAGGUCCUUGGACCUUGCGGAAAAAGGUGGCCUCUUCUUGAAAGCUAUCGCCUGUAGAUGAGCCCGCGUCCCAUUAGCUUGUUGGUGAGGUAAAAGCUCACCAAGGCAUCGAUGGGUAGCUGGUCUGAGAGGAUGAUCAGCCACACUGGAACUGAGACACGGUCCAGACUCCUACGGGAGGCAGCAGUCGGGAAUCUUGCACAAUGGGCGAAAGCCUGAUGCAGCAACGCCGCGUGAGGGAUGAAGGCCCUCGGGUCGUAAACCUCUGUCGGGAGGGAAGAACGCGUUUCGGACCAAUACUCCGGAGCGUUGACGGUACCUCCAAAGGAAGUGCCGGCUAACUCCGUGCCAGCAGCCGCGGUAAUACGGAGGGCACAAGCGUUGUUCGGAAUUAUUGGGCGUAAAGCGCGUGUAGGCGGCUUGGUAAGUCGGAUGUGAAAGCCCGGGGCUCAACCCCGGAAUUGCAUACGAAACUGCCUCGCUAGAGUCUCG
rnacentral:rRNA from 1 species